GACGGACGCUGGCGGCGUGCCUAAUACAUGCAAGUCGAACGCAUUUUCUUUCACCUUACUUUGCUACACCGAACGAAAAUGAGUGGCGAACGGGGGAGUAACACUUGCUUAACCUGCCCAUCAGCGUGGGAUAACACUAGGAAACAGGUGCUAAUACCGCAUAAUUCAAUUUUCCGCAUGGUAGAUGGAUGUAGGUCGCUCUUAUGGCUCUGUUGGCUGGACCCGCGGUGCAUUAGCUAGUUGGGGGGGUCACGGCCUACCAAGCCUGCGCUGCCUAGGCGGCCUGGGGAGGGGGACGGCCAAACUGGGACUGGGACACGGCCCAGGACUCUUAGGGGAGGAGGCGGAGGGAAUCUUCGGGCAAGGAGCGAAAGCUGAACGAGCAACGCCGGGGGGGUGAAGAAGGGUCUCGGGUCGUAAAAAUCUUGUGUUAGGGAAGAACAAGAAUGGGAGUGGAAAGUUCAUGCCUUGACGGUAUCUAACCAGAAAGCCAUGGCUAACUACGUG
rnacentral:rRNA from 1 species